UUCUAGUUUAGCAAAACAGCAAACAGGAUUCCCACCUGCAGAUAAGCCUAUCAAAAUGCCUUAAAAACCUUACAAACACUAAAAGUGCUCCUCCACGAAAUAACAGACAACGGAGCAGGAAAGCAGGGUACACAAGUUGCGACCUAGGCAGCUCUAAUUCUACGUGCUUGCUGAUUCUUUUCUCAAUCAAGGCUUGUUGGAUGGCCGUCAAAUCCUGAUGGGAAAAAAAUACACACGUGUAUGCACCAAUCAGAGUUAUGGUACCUACAGCCAAUCAGAGGAAGAGGAGCUCACAACCAAUCAGUGAGCAGCAAGGAAUAGCCUUUUGCGGCCCAUACUUGGAGAGGACGGGAGCUGAUGAAGCAUGGCGGAUGCUCAGAUCAUCAAAACCAAUGGAGAAAAGUCAACAUACGCAAGGAGCCCCCAGGACCGAUUCUGAGAACCACUGGCUUAAAUGCUCUUGUCGGUCUCUUAAAUGCUAAAAACAUGUUCCUUUCUAAAUGCCAGUCUUACAAUAAUGGUUAAUUGCAUUAAAUUCUGUGUGUGUGAUUUCACCGUGUGUUGUAUGUUAUCCAACAAAUUAAAUCAUAAACCUGGCUUAAGACUCUUAAUUCGCUUCGUGAAACUGAAAAUUCUGCAAUUUAUCCCAAAUCGGGAUUAUAGUAGCUUUGUCACAUCCGUGAAGCAUGACCCAGGUUUACGGAAUGUAGGCUACACGACUGACAAGCCGUCAAACACGUUUGACAAACUGAAUAUUUGCCGGAUAGGGUUAGAUAGGUAGCUUGCUAGUCAAAUGGCUUGGUAGCCGAAGUUGCGAACUGUUUUAGCAUACUGGACUACCCAAUAUAGCAAAUAAGCGUUAGCUGAUUACGCUUUCUGCCAACUAAUUAUUUGGUUAAGUAGGCUAAAGGAAAAAGUAAAAAUGACUUGGCUACCGACAAAACUUAGGAGGAGGAUUAUUUUAUGGUCGAUCAGUGUAGCUGUAAAUAGCGAACGCCAUAAUGAAAUCACUACGAAAUGGGAUGUCUGCAUUUUCUGACUUCGCACAGGUGGACCGUGGACGUCUCUCAACAAAACCAGGAAGUGAGCUUCAAAAACAUCUUUGGCACUAAAUUCACUCCAUACGUGUGGGCAUAUUAUUUUACCAUUGUCAAGCAAAACUCUGGUUCUCUCUGGUAGUUCUAUUUGCACCGUUGUUAAGCAAAAACCUCCUUAAUUCAAUGAAAACAAAGAUUCUAUCAAGAGAAAAUAGUUCCUUCUCAUUUUAUACCAUACAAUUAGCACCAAUUUGGUCAUUUUUGUUAUUAC